CCGCAGAAGCGAAAACAAUGGCAGAGCCGGAAGCGAGAACAAGGCCCACUUCCGGCCCCUCCAGGAUCCCGGAAAUCUCUCUGGCGAAGGAUAUUGAACUGGACAAAACCAUAUGACUAAACAGAGGACUGCUACACUCACAUUCUGGAUAAAAAUUGGACACUCUGCAAAAAAAUGUUUUCCUAGUCACUGUCACACUGUACUCAGAAAACCAAUGGAUGGCCAAACGUAAUUGUACCUUCCAAUCACAGUCUUUGGAAAACAACUUGUGUAAGUUUCCUGAUACCUCUGCAAUUUGCUGAUAAAUAAGCCUGGCUUUUACUCCUCAGUGGGACACAGUUUGGGUUGCUACCCAAAUCAGUGCUCCCUGAAUUUCAAUUCUGAGAAAUCAAAUAAAUGCUUUUGUUGUA